AGAAGCAGCAGUAGUAGUAGUAGUAAUAAGAACGGAGACAGCAGAGGCUACAAUAGUAGCAGUGAGAGCAGCUGUGAUCUCACUUCUUGUUUUAACAAUACGGCUACAACACGAAACUAACGCUUAUUAUUAAAACAAUAACUACUACAUAGAGCUGCUUAUCACUACCACCACCACCACCACCACCACAACCACAUAAACCACCACCAGCACCACAACCACUACAACCUACACCACUACCACAUCAACAACCACCACGACCACGACCACACCAACAAAAUACAUCACACCACCAUAUAUAUAUAUACAUAUUUAUACAUACAUGUACACAGUCAUCACACGCAUAUCCACACACAUAUACGCACACACCAUCGCACUAUACGCAAUUAAUUGUAUUAUUUAAUAACACAUAAUUAUCUAUCAAUAUACAUAUAUAUAUAUAUAUAUAUAUACACAUACACACGUAGAAUUAAAUAUAAAUACACGCACACACAUACACACAUAUAUGUACAUGCAAACAUACACAUACAUUUCUAUGUAGUUAUAUCUAUCUGUGUGUGUGUGUAUAUAUAUAUACAUAUACAUACAUAUAUAUAUGUAUAUAUAUAUAUAUACCUAUAUACCGAUACAUAUAUUUUCAUUGUGAGAAACAUCGAGUGUGUUGUGUGAACAGACAGCAUUCGAGCUUAAAGGAUGGCUGAGAGAAAGUUGAUUUUACCCUGCUGGGGACUGUUUUUAGCUUGUUUCUUCCUUGGUUAUGUUCGAACGGCAGUUUUGGUGGAUAAAUCUAGUUCCAUUUCAUCAGCAUUAGGUAAGUAGAUA
rnacentral:lncRNA from 1 species